CUGCAACCUGCCGGGGCGGCUCCGCUACGCGCAGCCGCCUCAGUGGCUUCCUCCACAGCCACCUCCGGAGGGAUCUGGCUGAGGAGGAAGUGGAGGUGUCACUGGCCCCGGCCUUUGCCCCAAUCUUGUGUGGGCACUGAAGGGGGACUACAGGUUCGAGAGCUUAUCUGAGCAGGCUGGACUACUAAUACUAUGAGGGAGAAGGAAAUGGAAUGCCUACAGUUCUAACUGGGUUAUGGGUGCUACAUG
rnacentral:lncRNA from 1 species